rnacentral:rRNA from 1 species
GACCCGUCUUGAAACACGGACCAAGAAGUCUAUCUUGCGCGCAAGCCAAUGGGUGUGGCGUAGUACCGGCGUGUACUGCCCCCAUAUAUAAAACCCCACAGGCGUAGACAACUCGAACAAUGUCUGAGGGAUUACGGGUUCGGCAUGGCGCAAGCCUUCGUCGGACCCCUCCCAUCCCGGGGUGUCCCGCUACGGGCUGUGUUCGCGUCUCACGAUGCGUUCGCUGUCCCGUGUGGGCAUCCCUCGAGUGCGUAGGAUGCGACCCGAAAGAUGGUGAACUAUGCCUGAUCAGGCCGAAGUCAGGGCAAACCCUGAUGGAGGGCCGAAGCAAUUCUGACGUGCAAAUCGAUUGUCAUAGAUGGGCAUAGGGGCGAAAGACCAAUCGAACCAUCUAGUAGCUGGUUCCUUCCGA